CUUUGUUUGCCAACAUCAGUCGCUUAAAAGGGGAUGCAGGACAGGUAGAAAGCCUGCAGUCGUGCUUGACCAGGUGAUCACGCAUCUUCUUUUCGAGAAACAAUAGGGAGAUGAACACAAGAGUUGUACAGUGUUGUUGGAUGAUUGCCAUUCUAUUGGCGGUGUUGACGUCAUCAGUUCAUUCGGCGCCAUUGAAAUUCAAGAGAGUAGCUCCGUGGGAAACCAAUUGGGAACCAACCACAACAGAGAGUGGCUUCCUUACCGCUAAUAACUACGGUGCCGCAAGCAUUUCCGCUAGUCUGCAAUCUGGUAUUCGCGAAUGUCCGGCCGGACAAUUUCGUGAUUUCCGCAACCAAUGUCGCAUAGCUUUUUAAGAACUAUGAAUUAAUGUUCACUCAUACAUUUUCUCAUAAAAAGAGCAAACAUUGGAUUUAAUGUUAUUGUAUGGUUAGAGUUUAAUGGCAAAUAAUUACACGAAAAUAGUUAUUAUAA